AUUCUCGAACUCUUAUCGAAUGGUAAAACAGAUCACAGCAUCCCCAGCAACACAAGCAGGUGCCCUUUGUAUCAGGCCUGCAAGCCCACUUCAAGAACCUAUUUCAUUAUGAUCGGAACGUUUUAGAGACUGUGAGCUGCGGUCAGAUCGGGUCCUUGUCGAGGAUUUUUGUCGCAGGAGUUAUUUCUUUGGUUCCCAGUGAAGGCGAUUUGGGUGGAUACACCUAGCUAGCUCCGGCUUGAUUUACUUCGUUGUUCGGCGUGGUUUAUGAGCAAUUCUCUUUAUCGUUGUUCGAACCAUAUUGUAUGUUGGCGAGGAAGGUGGAGGACUAGAGCGGAGCCCUAGGUUUGCUUUCGUUUGCUUCAUGUUUGUGAAUUUUUAGAGGUUUAAGUUUUUGCAUUGUGCUCUGUUUUUGUAGAUAUUGAAAAUUGUCAAUCUAUAAAUUUCGAUCCAGCGAAUGGGAGAGAAACUCUCCCCUCUCGCCAUGGAAUGCUGAGGCUCUCCUCCGCCCCUAUAUAUAUAAAUAUACCAAAAUUAGAAAAAAUAGACGGAAAAGAAAAAUUAAAAAAGUAGGUUCAUAUAUACGGGUAAAAGCUAUCCUUCUGGGCCAAGCACAAGGAAGAUAGAAUCAUAGAAAAGUAAAAGCAGUUAAAAAACUAUUAGGUCAGACUAUGGGCCUGCAGCCCAUGAGCAGCCCAAACAAAUACUCGUUCAUCCUCUAGGGUUGCUCUUUUUAUUGCCAUCCCAUUCUUCUUCUAUAAAAAGGGGCACAACACCCCCUUUCAUUCCUUGCUAGAGCGCGGCGGGCGUCCUUCUUCGCUUCCGCCCCGCUUUUAAAUGCCCCAACGUCUUCCAUGGCAAAAGCAGGAAGACCCGUGGGGCUCCCUUUGGCAAGCUUAUUUGCAGAUCGAGGUUGAGGAACCAUUGUUUCAUGCCCUGCCCAGGUUGAUACUAGGCAUUCUGAGGGAUCUUUUUGUUUACCGUGCUUUCGAAUCUGGGUUCACUUGAGGCUUUAUUUUCUUAAAACAACUUUCCCUUGACAUUUUAUAUGGAUAUAUGGUUAUACUGGUAUAGGCUGCUGGUAUAUGUGUUGUUCCACCCAUUUAAACUCACUACAAUGCAGAUGUGAUUUAUAUGUAUUUUAUAAGAAAAUGUUUGUUUGUUAA